GCAAGUCGAACGGAAAGGCCAAGCUUGCUGGGUGCCGAGUGGCGAAAGGGUGAGUAACACGCGGGUGAUCUGCCCCUAACUUCGGGAUAAGCUUGGGAAACUGGGUCUAAUACAGGAUAGGACAAUCGUUUAGUGUCGGUUGUGGAAAGUUUUUUCGGUUAGGGAUGAGCCCGCGGCCGAUCAGCUUGUUGGUAGGGUAAUGGCCUACCAAGGCGUCGACGGGUAGCCGGCCUGAGAGGGUGGAC
rnacentral:rRNA from 1 species